UAGGGAAUAUUGGACAAUGGGUGAGAGCCUGAUCCAGCCAUGCCGCGUGCAGGAAGAAGGCGUUAUGCGUUGUAAACUGCUUUUUGCCAGGGGAUAAAAAGACCGUGCGCGGUUAAUUGAAGGUACCUGGUGAAUAAGCCACGGCUAACUACGUGCCAGCAGCCGCGGUAAUACGUAGGUGGCAAGCGUUGUCCGGAUUUAUUGGGUUUAAAGGGUGCGUAGGCGGUUUAUUAAGUCAGUGGUGAAAGACGGUCGCUCAACGAUUGCAGUGCCAUUGAUACUGGUAGACUUGAGUAUGAUUGAGGUAGCUGGAAUGGAUAGUGUAGCGGUGAAAUGCAUAGAUAUUAUCCAGAACACCAAUUGCGUAGGCAAGUUACUAAGUCAUAACUGACGCUGAGGCACGAAAGUGUGGGUAUCAAACAGGAUUAGAUACCCCCGUAGUCCCUGAGCGGGCUGGCAAGGCGCAU
rnacentral:rRNA from 1 species